AUGGGUAAUUGUACAAAACUAACCCAUCUUGAUCUCUCCUAUAAUUUUUUGUCGCAAGGAUCCAUUGGAAGCAUAAGAAAUCUAACGAGUUUACAUUACCUAGAUCUUUCCAACAAUCAAAUAAAUGGUUUCCCUUCGACCAUUUUGAAAUUAGCCUCUCUAACAACACUGGAACUUGGAUCCAAUCAACUUAAUGGUCUAUUACCACCAGAGUUAGGAUCACUUGUUCUUCUCUCACAUCUGAAUCUUUCCAACAACCGGAUCAUGGGUUCCAUUGGAAGCAUAGGAAAUCUAACAAGUUUAGAAUUCUUGGAUCUUUCUAACAAUCAAAUAAAUGGUUCCAUCCCUCCAACCUUCUGGAAAUUUAUCUUAGUUACAACACUGUCACUUGAUUCCAAUCAGCUUAAUGGCCUAUUACCGCCAGAGUUGGGAUCACUUGUUCUGCUCACAGAUCUGAACCUAAGUAGCAACCUAUUUCUAGGAAAUAUUCCACCUGAGAUAGGACAUUGCCACCUUUUAUCAUCGUUAAUCUUAUCAGACAACUUAUUGACAGGAGAAAUACCACAAGAACUUGGGUAUCUCACCAAUAUAUAUGAGCUAGAUUUGAGUAGAAACAAUUUAAGUGGUGCCAUCCCAACGACUUCUUCUAAUCUUACGCAACUGUGUAUAGACUAA
rnacentral:rRNA from 1 species